GAAAACAAACUAAAACAAAGAUUCACUGGGGUAAAAUAUUUAGUAGUAUGUAGGAAGCAGGAUAGACUGGGGACGGUUGGGAAUGACAGAAAGAGAAGGCUAGUGAGCUACCAGAAUAAACAUGGAAGGAGGUGAAGAAGCAGGAGGUUAAGUAACUUACCUCAGAUUGCAUAACUAGUAAGAAUUGAAGCU